rfam:Nicotiana sylvestris Nsyl_contig103061, whole genome shotgun sequence.
UGGCCUAUGAUGAGAUGUAUAUUUAAAAACACCAUCUUUCGGGACUGAAUGGCCCAUAAGUCCUUGCUGUUAAUUUCUGCAAUUCUGAGGCCU